AGGGGCAGCGGUGGUGAAGGCUUGCCUUUACCAGCCGGCGACCGGCGCACGGGUGAGUAACACGUAUGCAACCUGCCUGCCACAGCCGGAUAAUCGGGAGAAAUUCCGUCUAAUACGGCAUAAUGCACCUAUGGGACAUCCUGUUGGUGCCAAAGGUUAAUUCCGGCGGCGGAUGGGCAUGCGUCGCAUUAGUUAGUUGGCGGUGUAACGGACCACCAAGACGACGAUGCGUAGGGGUUCUGAGAGGAAGGUCCCCCACACUGGUACUGAGACACGGACCAGACUCCUACGGGAGGCAGCAGUGAGGAAUAUUGGUCAAUGGGCGGGAGCCUGAACCAGCCAAGUCGCGUGAGGGAUGACGGCCCUAUGGGUUGUAAACCUCUUUUGCCGGGGAGCAAAGUGCCGCACGUGUGCGGUUUGGAGAGUACCCGGAGAAAAAGCAUCGGCUAACUCCGUGCCAGCAGCCGCGGUAAUACGGAGGAUGCGAGCGUUAUCCGGAUUUAUUGGGUUUAAAGGGUGC
rnacentral:rRNA from 1 species